rnacentral:rRNA from 1 species
UACAUGGGGUGCAAACGUUGCUCGGAAUUAUUGGGCGUAAAGCGCGCGUAGGCGGUUAUUCAAGUCGGAUGUGAAAGCCCUCGGCUUAACUGAGGAAGUGCGCCCGAAACUGAGUAGCUAGAGUACCAAAGAGGGUCGCGGAAUUCCCGGUGUAGAGGUGAAAUUCGUAGAUAUUCGCAAGAACACCAGUGGCGAAGGCGGCUCACUGGCCCGAUACUGACGCUGAGGCACGAAAGCGUGGGGAGCAAACAGG